rfam:Tribolium castaneum strain Georgia GA2 linkage group LG3, whole genome shotgun sequence.
UCGCUCAUCAUCUGGUUGUGAAAUGUGAAUUUAUAUCAUAUCACAGCCAGCUUUGAUGAGCGCAA